CUUGUAGUACAAUUUCAUAAAGAUCCAUACACUUACACACAAGUGAUUGUCCUGAAACUAGAAUAAAAUGCUCCGCAGGGCGCAGCUUGAUACGACCGCAGAGGUCGAACCCUGAACAGUUGGGGGAAGUAUGGACACAACAUUCAAGCUUGAUACAGCUUUGGAUUUGGAUUGUGAUUAAAUAUUUGAUACAGCAUAGGUUUCUGACAGAAUGAAUGUGGUCUAAGAACUUAAAAAAUUUUAAUUUACCUAUUCAAACCAUAUCAUUAUUAUUUGCUUUUAGAUAUAUAUAAAUCAGAAAUAACCAAUUUAAAAUGGAAAAUUUUAAAGAAAAAAAAAAGGAAAAAAAUGAAAAAAAUAUCCCUCCCCCAAAUUUUUUGAACCCCCUUAUGAUUCAUCACCCCCAAAAUUCAAUCCCAGCCUUCCCUUUGUGGUAUGGUACCUGGCAGUACAAUUUCAGAGAGAUCCAUACACUUGAACACAAGUUAUUGUCUGGAAACUAGAAAAAUGUUUGUUUUUAGGCCCCUUUUUGGCCCCAAAUUCGUAAACGUUUAGGGCAAUUAUCCCCAAACUCAAACCAAGCUUUCCCUUUGUGAUAUGGAACCUUGUAGUACAAUUUCAGAGAGAUCCAUACACUUACACACAAGUUAUUGUCCUGAAACUAGAACGGUUGUAUAUAUAUGCUUGUUUUUUGCCCCUUUUUGGCCCCUAAUUCCUAAAAUUUUGAGGCAAUUACCCCCAAAAUCAAUCCCAGCCUUCCCUUUGACGCAUGGUACCUUGCAGUACAAUUUCAGAGAGAUCCAUACAAUUGAACAAAAGUUAUUAUCUGGAAACUAGAAAAAUGCUUAUUUUUGGCCCCUUAUUCCUAAACUUUUUGGGCAAAUAAACCCAAACUCAAUUCCAGCUUUCCCUUUGUGAUAUGGAACCUUGUAGUACAAUUUCAGAAAGAUCCAUACACUUACACACAAGUUAUUGUCAUAAAACUAGAAAAAUGCUUGUUUUUUGCCCCUUUUUGGCCCCUAAUUCCUAAAAUUUUGAGGCAAUUACCCCCAUAAUCAAUCCCAGCAUUCCCUUUGUGAUAUGGAACCUUGUGGUACAAUGUCAGAGAGAUCCAUACACUAACACACAAGUUAUGUCUGGAAGUUACAAAAAUGCUUAUUUUUGGCCCCUUAUUCCUUAACUGUUGGUACCAUAACCCCCAAAAUCAAUCCAAACCUUCCUUUUGUGGUAUUGAACCUUAUGGUAAAAUUUCAUAGAGAUCAAUUCACUUAAACUAAAGUUAGAGUGCGAAAACUAAUGUGUCUUCGGAUGACGACAGCAAUGAUGACGCCAACGUCAUACCAAUAUACGACCGCAAAAUUUGUUUGCGGUCGUAUAAAAAUAGAUU